GAGACGGAGGGAGUAACAAGUAAGCGGCGAUGAGAUUUUAGGAGCCUAUGACUCUUCAUUUUCCAUUUUUUUUUAUUCCCGCUGCAACUCCCGCGUUUCGAUCAAUCCCACAAUUCAAUUAGGCGGUAAUUAAAUUUCAGGAGCCCGCUACCAAGAGGGGUUUUCAAUCAAAAACCUAAUCUAUAAUUCAUUCCAAUUUUUAAAUAUAGGGUUUAUCUUACUAAAACCCACAAUUAUCUUUCCCUUAACAAAGAAAUACGAUUUUUCCAUGGUGUAAUCAGAAGAUGAACUUGCAAUUGAUGAACACCUAGAAUGGAGUCUUGCUGCAGUUGCCAAUCAACAGAUUCAGCAUCCAAGAACACGUUUGGAUAGAUUUGACAUGGUCAUCACUCCUCGUCAUGAUUACUAUCCUUUAACUUCUCAAGCACAAGAGAAGAUUCCUUAAUUUCUUCGAUCAUGGAUUACUGCAUGUGAACCACCUGCUAGGAAUGUGGGAUGUUCCCUUGGCUGGAUGUCAUUAAUUAAUUUGCUUUUCCUAAAUUUUGUUAGAUGUUGCAAUUUAGGUAAAUUUCUCUUUUCAAUAGAAUGUUGAAAUUCAUACCAUGAGUUAAAAAUGGAAAUUGAGAAACUGUCUAACACGAGCACCCAGUAAGGUAGACGUGGCCUAUUAUUUUGGAGCACAAAGUAUAUUAUUAGCUAUUCAAACUUGGAGUAUCCAUUAUUUCUGGUUUCCAAAGACUGCUAAUGUUUUAGUUCUCAUGUGAUGCAGUAUUGUUUUCUGUUUUUGCUAUACAUUUCUUUUAACUUAUUUUGUGUAAUGGUUUGCAUUCUUGUUUCUAUGGUUACAUAAUAUGCUUUUAUCUUUUCUGUUUAGAAAUCUUAUACAUGUCUGUAACUCUGUAUGAUAAAUAACAUAGGAAACUGGAUUUAUGACAGAAACUCCAGGAUUAGUUUUACACCGCCACUGAGGAAGGAGAGGGCCAAGAGGCUCCCAAGAGAGACCAACUAGCCAGCAGUAUCACAGUUUCUUCUAGAAGGCAUGUGGUCCUUGCGGAUGGCACUUAUGCCACUCAAAGUGCAGCCUUGGAAACUGCUAUUUCUCCCCCUACCUUGGUUCAAGGGUCGUUGGCUACUCAAGGAAAAUAGAUGCGACUAGAAAAAUAUGGCUUCACUCUUGCAAUGAAAGCUUUAUUGACAUGCUUCCAGACAAGUAAUUCCGUGAACCGAGAAGAGAAAAGCCAAGGCUCAGGGAAAAUGGUUCCUCCAAAUGCAAAAGUGGUUCAUUCCAAUGAGAUCUUCCAACCUUCAUUGAAUCAUUGCUGAGAUCUAAAAGGAACUAUGUGCCCCCUCAAUUACUUGCAAAAGGACAUGUACAAAGCUUAGUACAAUUGUAUUCUUUCCAAAGACAAGCUUAAUAAUGUUAAUUCCAUUGUAAUCAAGUACGAAGUACAUAAUACAUUCAUACUCCUGUAUCAUAGUUGUAGUUUGUUUUCAUUGAUAUCAUUAUGUCACAUAUAUCAUUCCCUUUUAUACCAUA